AUUGAACGCUGGCGGCAGGCCUAACACAUGCAAGUCGAACGGAGUGGCGCACGGGUGAGUAAUGUAUAGCUAAUCUGCCCUACACUAGAGGACAAAAGAUGGAAACGGCUGCUAAUACUCUAUAGUGUAGGACGAGGCUAUAUUGUAUCAGCUAGUUGGUGAGGUAAUGGCCCACCAAGGCUAUGACGGAUCACUGGUAUGAUAGGAUGAGCAGUCAACCUGGAAGUGAGGCACGGUUCGGACUCCUACGGAAAUGAGCAGAAUGGUGGAGUGCUCCAUGGGGGAAUCCCUGAAGCACCAAAGCGGCGUGAAGGAUGACACGUUGCGGGGCGUAAACUCCUUUUGUUAUCGACGCGGUACCUAACGAAUAAGCACCGGCUAACUCCGUGCCAGCCGCCGCGGUAAUAC
rnacentral:rRNA from 1 species